AAGUCGUAACAAGGUUUCCGUAGGUGAACCUGCGGAAGGAUCAUUAGCGAGUAUGGCCCUCACGGGUCUAAUCCACCACAAACACCUUUGUGAACCAGUCAGGGGGACUCGGCCGUGAAAGCCCAGGCGAUUAGCGGAGGGGCCCUCCUUUGCAAACCCGUUUAGAAGUCUUGAAAGUACUUUUGUAUAAUCUAGUAAAACUUAUAGCAACGGAUCUCUUGGCUCUCGC
rnacentral:misc_RNA from 1 species